UAUGACGUCAUCCUGCCCUCAUAAAAAAUCUUUUUUAUUAAAUCAACUUUCUUUAAUUAAUAUAAAAACAUAAAUACAUGUAGGCAUCAGGCUAAUCCCAAAACAGUCCAGGGCAGAGGAUCGGAGUAACCAACAACUCACUCGUUCUGCAAAGGAUGCGGGCUAUAACCCAGAUUGCUGCUAGACUUCCCCGGUAAUUCAGGUGUGCCUCCCUUUGUGUGCGGCAAGCGGGAGAGCAGUUUUUCCGACCGUAAUGAAAAGGCUAAACGGCAACAAAUAUGGAUUGAAGCAGAAUAUUUUGUUAGAUAAAAUAUGUUGUGAAUUUUGGAAAUGAAAAUAACAUCUAUAAUUUUUCAAUAAAUUUUGACUUUGGGACUUUUCAA